rnacentral:tRNA from 1 species
GGCCCCGUAGCUCAGCGGUCAGAGCAGGCGACUCAUAAUCGUCAGUGCGCCGGUUCGAAUCCGGCCGGGGCCA